UACGUAGGUGGCAAGCGUUGUCCGGAUUUACUGGGUGUAAAGGGCGUGCAGCCGGGCUGACAAGUCAGAUGUGAAAUCCCGCGGCUCAACCGCGGAACUGCAUUUGAAACUGUCAGUCUUGAGUACCGGAGAGGUCAUCGGAAUUCCUUGUGUAGCGGUGAAACGCGUAGAUAUAAGGAAGAACACCAGUGGCGAAGGCGGAUGACUGGACGGCAACUGACGGUGAGGCGCGAAAGCGUGGGGAGCAAACAGG
rnacentral:rRNA from 1 species